rnacentral:rRNA from 1 species
UACGAGUGCCUCAAGCGUUAUCCGGAAUCAUUGGGCGUAAAGGGUGUGUAGGUGGCCGCAUUAGUCUUUUGUUAAAUUUCCCGGCUUAACUGGGAACCUGCAGAAGAAACGGUGCGGCUAGAGGAUGCAAGGGGUCUGUGGAACUCAUAGUGUAGCGGUGAAAUGCGUUGAUAUUAUGGGGAACACCAAAAGCGAAGGCAACAGACUGGGGCGCUCCUGACACUGAAACAUGAAAGCGUGGGUAGCGAAUGGG